UACCGGAUACGGCGCGAGAGGUCUUCGGCUUCUCACGAGAAAGCCACGCGAAGGGCACUGAAGGACGAGCCUGCGGCCCAUCAGCUAGUUGGUGAGGUAAGAGCUCACCAAGGCUAAGACGGGUAGCUGGUCUGAGAGGAUGAUCAGCCACACUGGAACUGAGACACGGUCCAGACUCCUACGGGAGGCAGCAGUGGGGAAUAUUGCGCAAUGGGCGAAAGCCUGACGCAGCCACGCCGCGUGAGCGAUGAAGGCCUUCGGGUCGUAAAGCUCUGUGGGGAGAGACGAAGAAAGCCUGUGAAGAGCAGGCCUUGACGGUAUCUCCUUAGCAAGCACCGGCUAACUCCGUG
rnacentral:rRNA from 1 species